CUGGAGGCGUUCUACAGCCUGGAGCCCACUGAUAAGGAUUUUGAUGCGACUUGACUGGAAUUGCACCCACAGCCUUUUGUCAGGCCUGUGACAGGCUGACUGUGGUUGCAAGAUGUUAGCCGAAGCCCCACACCAUGAUUAGGGCAUUGGUUCUUGGUCAUCGGUUACCUUAAAGAGGUACCACAGCCUGGCGUUAUUCUCCGUUGACAAUAGAUCCCUGG